GUAACGCGUAUGCAACUUACCUAUCAGGAGGGGGAUACGGCCCCGGACGAAAAGGUCGGAAUUAAUACCCCCAUAAAAACAGGGGUCCCGCAUGGGAAUAUUUGUUAAAGAUUCAUCGCUGAUAGAUAGGCAUGCGUUCCAUUAGGCAGUUGGCGGGGUAACGGCCCACCAAACCGACGAUGGAUAGGGGUUCUGAGAGGAAGGUCCCCCACAUUGGUACUGAGACACGGACCAAACUCCUACGGGAGGCAGCAGUGAGGAAUAUUGGUCAAUGGUCGGCAGACUGAACCAGCCAAGUCGCGUGAGGGAAGACGGCCCUACGGGUUGUAAACCUUCUUUUGUCGGAGAGUAAAGUACGCUACGUGUAGUGUAUUGCAAGUAUCCGAAGAAAAAGCAUCGGCUAACUCCGUG
rnacentral:rRNA from 1 species